AUUGAACGCUGGCGGCAUGCUUUACACAUGCAAGUCGAACGGUAACAGGCCGCAAGGUGCUGACGAGUGGCGAACGGGUGAGUAAUGCAUCGGAACGUGCCCAGUCGUGGGGGAUAACGCAGCGAAAGCUGCGCUAAUACCGCAUACGAUCUAUGGAUGAAAGCGGGGGACCGUAAGGCCUCGCGCGAUUGGAGCGGCCGAUGUCAGAUUAGGUAGUUGGUGGGGUAAAGGCUCACCAAGCCAACGAUCUGUAGCUGGUCUGAGAGGACGACCAGCCACACUGGGACUGAGACACGGCCCAGACUCCUACGGGAGGCAGCAGUGGGGAAUCUUGGACAAUGGGCGCAAGCCUGAUCCAGCAAUGCCGCGUGCAGGAAGAAGGCCCUCGGGUUGUAAAGCUCUUUUGUCCGGAAAGAAAAGCAUCCAGUUAAUACCUGGGUGUCCUGACGGUACCGGAAGAAUAAGCACCGGCUAACUUCGUGCCAGCAGCCGCCGUAACAC
rnacentral:rRNA from 1 species